rnacentral:rRNA from 1 species
CUCGUAGGCGGCCAACUAAGUCCGACGUGAAAUUCCCAGGCUUAACCUGGGAACUGCGUCGGAUACUGGAUGGCUUGAAUCCGGGAGAGGGAUGCGGAAUUCCAGGUGUAGCGGUGAAAUGCGUAGAUAUCUGGAGGAACACCGGUGGCGAAGGCGGCAUCCUGGACCGGCAUUGACGCUGAGGAGCGAAAGCCAGGGGAGCAAACG